GCGGAUGUGGUGGAAUUGGCAGACACGCUGGAUUUAGGAUCCAGUGCCNNCCCUUCAUCCGCACCA
rnacentral:tRNA from 1 species